GCCGGAUAUUGUUGUCUUUGGGGAAGACUUGCACGAAAAGUUCCUCAAAAGUUUGGUGGAGACUUCAAGGAGUGCGAUCUGCUGAUCAUCAUGGGCACCUCGCUGGAAUUGCAUCCGUUUGUAGCUUUGGCGCAGUACCCUGGACUGCGCUGUGUGCGUCUCUUGAUCAAUCGCGAUGCCGUGGGUUUUCCCAAGUUUACCACCUGGAUGGAGGACCAAAAUAACGACUGUCUGCGGCAGCAUCCACUUGGCACUGGGCUCGACACGAACAGUCAUGUAUUGACUUAGCGGAGCAGCAUUCAAAUGCCACUUUCACCCACCUACGUCGUACCUACUCUCAGGUACUUUAUCCGAUUUUGAGAUAUAUUAAUUAGUAUUGAUUCAAGUUCAUCCCACCGUAGAGUGACCGAUGAAAACAGCGCUGGCGCAGCACAGCUCAUUGAUCAGACGAUGAACAGCAGAUAGCAGACUGCAGCUCCAGCUCGAAAACAUCAUCACAUACGUUCUUGUGAACUCCUCUCUCGAGUUCGAAGUAUCGGCAUUGUGGAUGGUUCAGCAGGACAGCAGGUUCAGGACAGCCCAAUCGAUGCUGCCCAGGCAAGCGGCAGUGACCCUCCUUCUAGAGCGAAUAGAGAAAGGCCACAGUCUGAAUGGUCUUGCCUAGGCCCAUCUCAUCGGCUAGAAUGGUGUCGAUGGCCUGUCGAGGCUCUUCAGGUACUUUUUCCGAUUUUGAGAUAUAUUAAUAAGUAUUGAUUCAAGUUCAUCCCACCGUAGAGUGACCGAUGAAAACAGCGCUGGCGCAGCACAGCUCAUUGAUCAGACGAUGAACAUCAGAUAGCAGACUGCAGCUCCAGCUCGAAAACAUCAUCACUUCCGAUUUUGUGAACAAAGUACCAAGCGGAUGCUGCCGCAGACAGUCGUCAUUUUGGUCAUCCAUCCAGGUGGUAAACUUGGGACGACCCACGGCAUCGCGAUUGAUCAAGAGACGCACACAGCGCGGUCCAGGGUACUAC
rnacentral:lncRNA from 1 species